rnacentral:tRNA from 1 species
GGGGUUGUGCCUGGUCAGGGGCCUGAGUCGGGCAGACUGUAAAUCUGCCGGCUCAGCCUUCCCAGGUUCGAAUCCUGGCGCCGCCA